CGUACAGGACGAACGCUGGCGGCGUGCCUAACACAUGCAAGUCGAACGGGAUUCUAGUCGAAUGAGGCUUCGGCGGAUUUGGUGGACAUCUAGUGGCGGACGGGUGAGUAACGCGUGAGCAACCUGCCUUUAAGAGGGGGAUAACAUACCGAAAGGUAUGCUAAUACCGCAUAAGAUAUAGUACCGCAUGAUACAGAUAUCAAAGAUUUCAUCGCUUAAAGAUGGGCUCGCGUCCGAUUAGAUAGUUGGCGGGGUAACGGCCCACCCAAGUCGACGAUCGGUAGCCGGACUGAGAGGUUGAACGGCCACAUUGGGACUGAGACACGGCCCAGACUCCUACGGGAGGCAGCAGUGGGGGAUAUUGCGCAAUGGGGGGAACCCUGAACCGCAGCAACGCCGCGUGAAGGAAGAAGGUCUUCGGAUUGUAAACUUCUGUCUUAUGGGACGAAGAAGUGACGGUACCAUAGGAGGAAGCCACGGCUAACUACGUGCCAGCCGCGGC
rnacentral:rRNA from 1 species